rnacentral:lncRNA from 1 species
AUUUAUGAACUCUCUAUUCGGCACCAACCAGAAAGUGUCUCUAGUGUACCGACACUACGACACUAAUGGGGUGAUAGCUCAAGCCAGGGAAUCAAGGUCUCAUCAAGAUCCGAACUCAAAUGAGAGACUAAACCACAUGAUUAAGAAUCAUGUAUAAUGGUGACGUCAUUAUUCUCAAGGUUGCUUCUAUGGAUAACAUAUAGAUAUCCAUUGCCUAGGCCUACUACUCAGCCAUUUUUGAAAUGACUACAGAAGAGGUAUCAUCACUGAUGACCAAGCUGAUUGGCUCUAGUGCAAGUGGGAGAUUGUUGGAAAUGUGCCCUAAAACCAAUCAUAUGAUGAUACUUCACGGACAUUUCACAUGUUAAACUAAUUUAGUUUAAUAUCAAGGGCAAAGAUUAUUGUUUUAAGCCGUCUCAUAUAAAUGUUAUAUGCUUAAAUGAUAAGUCCAAGGAAUGUGUAAUUAGGAGAAUGUAAUUUAGAGAAGUUAGAUUCAUGAGACCAUUCUCUUUCGUAUACAUAUCCUAAACGUUCCUGAUCAUAGGAUUGCCAAUUGGGCAUUGACAAUCCGUUAAGAUCAGUAUGUUCUAUGUCUUCUCUUUGUGAGAGUGGCUGGUCUCGAGUCAUUGGUGUGACUAACACCAAGACAAGUACGUAGGUGCUCAAUAAGGAAUGAGUUCACUGAACACGAUCAACGAAGAGUUCUCAUACUCAUGUCACAUGAGAACUCAUGGUUGGGAUAAUGCAAAGUAGUCCUUUGACCUGAGGCAUCAUAGUUGUCUUGUGGUUAAGUCCUUGAUCUUUGAUUAUGUCAAAGUCACUCCAUUCGAGGGUGUCCACGGCAUAGUUGGGGUUAAGCCACUUAGCCAUGGAGGCGAUUGAAUGCGCAACAAGGGAUCUCUAACCUUCAAACCGUUUGAGGGAGAAUACUCUAUGAUAUGAUUAAGAAUCUCUGGCCAGAGUAUGAAUGAGAUUUAGAAAGUCAUUCCAAAUCACAUUCAAAGAAAUCAUAUAAGUAAAUGAAUCACAUUGGAUAAUAGACAUGAAUAAACUAUCAAUCCAAACAAUGUGAUUAAGAGUAUUGUAUUAGAGAAAGACCGUAUUGCAUUGUAAUCCUAAACUGAAUAGGUUCUCCACCUCUUCUGAUUAGCUUGGGUAACCAUGACAUACUGCUAGGUGUCACUCAUGGUUUGUGGAAGCCCUAAACGUGUAUAAACACUAAGGGGAGAAUUGAAAGUAAGUUUCAAUUCACAAUCGAUUUGAAAGAGUUUUAAUCGCCCACUGCCUCGCUAAAAGGAACCUAAUGGAUCGUACACCGUGUAAGGUAGAGAUUGAAGAAACAACGGAGAUGAGUAAGAAUAAUUAAAUGGUUUAAUUAUUUAUGGCAAGCAUUAAUUAAUAUGUUAAUUAAUCAAACGAAUAAAGUUCGUUAAAAGACCACGGGUUA